CUUUCCUUCCUCUUCUCUUCCUCCUCCGUGGAGAAUCGUACCAAUUAAUCACUGGAGGCAGACAACCACUAGAGCUCACGAUCCCUGCCUCUCCCUUCAUGAUGUGAAUGAGGAGAGCUCCUGGAGCUGGGAACGGCACCAUGGAAACGAGCUCUGGGGCAGAGGCGGCAGUCUGGACACCGUCCCAGCCUCCCCAACCCGUCUCACUGGCACCUGACACCCAGAGGGCCUGCCGGGGUGGCGUCAGAUGAUGUGUUGAGUCAACAGAACCCCAGGAGAGCCCUGGUUGGAGUCCCAUGGCAGCCGGCUGCAGCCAGCACCCCAGGAAGGGAGUGUCUGCCACCGGCUGCAGCCGCCACCUGGCCUCCUGGGAGACCUGGCGGGAAGGGGAAAGCCGGGCAGGAACCACACUCACAGACGGUCUCCCCAUCCCCGCCUCUGCCGCCUUCUCCUGCUUCGCUGUACGUGGCUCUCCAAAGUGGAGGUUUGGGAAUGUGCUUCUGUGGCCCAUACCCCACGUGGCCCACACCCCAUCGUGCCAGCCACAUUUUCUCCUAUUCAG
rnacentral:lncRNA from 1 species